rnacentral:misc_RNA from 1 species
GUGGCAACAACAACAACAAAUACAGCAGACGACGAAGACUGUCAAGAUUCAUUCAUUAUUCCCAGUCCCAGUCGAUGUAAAAAGCAAUAGACUAAGAGUUCAACGCAAGAUGAGGAGUCCGCUGUAAAGUGAAAGAUUUGAGGAAGAUAGAAAAAAUGGUGUGGUACACAGUAAUUCAGCUGUUCUUCUCGAUUACUUCAGUUUGUUUUGGAAAUAGCUUAAAGACACCAUUAUUCGAAGUGUCUGGGAUGUCUGAUCAGCUACCAAAUCUGUGUGCAUAUAACUAUCAAGUAGACACGGUUAAUAUCAACAUAGAGAUAAAAAUUGCAGCUUGUGGCAGUGGAGUCAGUGAUAUAGUUACAUCUGUAAACUGGACAUUAUAUCAACUCCAGCAUAGUGAUGGUUAUGAAAUAGAUACAGCCGCUCCUCACAAAACUGCACACACUCAAACUCCAGCCUACACUUGGACUGGUUUAUUGGAGGGUGAUUUGUCUAUAUAUGCUGUUGUGGUUGAAUUACAACUACAAGACUUUCAGGACGACAUCACAAUAAUGGGGUAUCUUGUUGUUGCCUGUGGGGAAGAGGUUGGAAACUAUAGUGCAGGAAAUUGUGGAACUGUAAGAGAUGAUGUGAGGAAUUUAGCUGGAAUUACCACAAAGAUAUGGGAGUUGAGAAAAUGUGAUGAAGUUCUGUCUUCUUAUAAAGCAACAUCAAGAGAAGAGUAUAUUCUUGAUGCUAGUUCUGCUGUUGGUGAAAUAUAUGGGGAUAAUUCAUACUUACAAGUGGAUACUACAGUAAUUUUUCAAGUUAAAUGCGAGUCAGAUGCCUUUGUUCUACUGCAAGAAGAUGUAACUGAUAAAGAUAACAACAUUGUUGAAGUUACUAUUGGUUUUGGAGGAAACAAGCAUAGAUCUGUUCUCACAAAAGAGCGAAACAGUAUGGGAAACAGUCCAUUAUCAGAGCAUAUUGAGGGAAACAUGCUUUCCAAUGCGGAAUUUCACUACUUUUGGAUCAGUUUUGCUGAGAACGAGGUACGUGUUGGUAAAGGCCACAUACUGUAUGUAGAUCAGUUCUUGGAAUAUGACAGUCUGAACCAUGAUAUCAACUAUUUAUCAUUUGGAAAUGGUAAUGGUGUAUCAGGUUCCUGGAAAUUUGAUAUUGAUUUGUGCCAUUUGCCUUUGGACCAAGGAUCAUGUUCGCAAUCUUACUGGGGAUACAGUCAUCUAUCCUCAUCCUGUGUUGAUACCUGUGGUAAUGGUAAAAACUGUUUUCAGACAAAAGCUCUUUGUGAACAGUCAUGUCAGGUUUCCACCACUGUGACUGUGUGCGCCACACCUAGUGAUAUUACAAAUGGAACAAUGUCCUACAAUGAAACAAGUGUUGGCAGUACAGUGACCUACUCAUGUGACAGUGGCCUUGUCAUGACCCGUGGUGAUGCAACUCGUACAUGCAAUGACACAGGAGGAUGGUCCGGACUCUUACCAGUUUGUGGAGAUUUUAGCAUUGGCAUCAGAUGUACACAUAAUUCUAACUGCUUGGAGAAGAAAAAUCCUCAGAAGAAUAUAAAGUUUGAAGUUGACUGUGAUGCAUGCACAGAUGAAAAUGUAGAGAGCUAUUUAUGGUCAGCUGUUGAAUGUGAUGCAGCAGAUAUACAAACUUGCAAUGGACCAAAUGUCGAAACAAGAGGAAAAGACACGUUUGAACUGGGUAUUCUCAAGGCAAAUGCUGAUCCAAAGAUGAUUGUCAAGCUUCAUGUUAGAGUUGUACUGAAGGAUGGUAAUGAAGCUAAUACAAACAAACUGAUUGAAUACAGCCCAAUACCUGUUGCUGGAGACUGCUUUGUUGAACCAGUGUCUGGAUAUACCUUACUGACAGAUUUUAAUAUAACAUGCAUCAACUUUACUGUAGAGGGAAAUUACAGCUUCACAUAUGUAAUGAAAUCAAAAACAAUAAAUGAAUGGCGUAAAGGACCAAAGUUUGAAAUGGGGCAAAGGAGAACAGCAAUAGUGAAGUUACGUCUAGGAGAUCCUGAUAUGGAACAUAGAUUGUUCAUAAUGGUUAGAGGCAAACUUGUAGAAUCUGGAGCAUAUGGAAACAUUUCAAAGAUAGUGCAGGUACUUCCGGCAGACCAGGCCCCAGAAGGUAGCAAUGUGUUAGCUGCAGCCAGAUCUAUGCUCCUUGUGACAAACAGUUCACAGCCUUCACCUAUUGAUGAAAUGAUUGCUGCAGGAAAUGGAGCUGAGGCAGUUCAGAACUUGAAUGUUAUUUCUUCAGCACUAACUCCUGUAAAUGCCAGUGUUGUAAAUGACACUGAAAGAGAGGAGAAGAUAAAAAUCCGUACAACAGUUGUGGAAAGCCUUGGAAAAGUAAAUGUGAGCAGCUUUGAUACUGUAUCUUCUGUAGCAGAAACUUUGACUGAGGUUACAAAGGUGAAAACUGAACUUAGUGAAAGUACUCAGAACCUUGCUGCUGACCUGUUUGAUAAUUUAGCAGACAGUUUGGAGCAUUACAGAGAGGAAACUAUUGUAUCAGACAUUGUGGAUUCUGCUGGAGAUAUAUUUACUGGCGUGACACAGCUGCUUGAUAUCAAAGUGGAUGAGGGUAGCAAGCAGUUGCUGCAAGACAAGAGUGACAUCACUGACAGCACACAAGAUGAUGCUAAAUUGGAAAAUGUAAAAAAUUCAACAGGGAAACUUCUCAACACAAUCAGUAAAAUUAGCACUACCCUCCUAUCCGGUCAUAAGUCUGGAGAUCCUCCCAUUGUUAUACAGACUGAGAGCAUGAGUGUUCAAGUUGAAAAAGUAGAGAAGUCAGCUUUGUUUGGUCGCAAUCUGUCUGUAGGUGCUGGCAAUGAAACAGAUGUAGCAACACUCGAGUUUCCUUCCGUUCUAGAUGGUUUGGAUGGAGAUAUAACUGAUUUAGGACUGCAGGUGUUACACAUGAAGAAAAACCCUUAUGUUUGGGACAAAACAGCAGCAGAAGUCAAUAUGGAGGUGUUAUCUGUAGAACUGACAUCAGCUACUACAGAAGUCACAGUAACCAACCUUACUCAGCCAGUAAAAGUGACACUUAAAGCACCAGAGACUGAAAAACCUCCAUACAGCACACUUCAGCUUCAUAUAAUCAAAAGUGGCAGCAAUUUAACAUACAAUCUUUCAAUGACAAAUAUACUGAACUCCAACUUCACCAUCCCAGAGGGAAAAACAACAAUUUUGUCACUGUUUUCCUUUUUUCAGAUAAGACAUUUUAAGAUCUAUAUUGAUGAAUAUGAAAAACCAACAUUUGACAAAGUUAAGGAAUUGGGAGUUUCAUAUCCUGAUCAAGCUGAUGAACUAAGCAAAAACUUUUCCAAAUUUGGACUAACGAAUGAAAGAGCUGAAAACUAUAGCCUUAUUUUCUUCACAUACAACAAGAGCAUGUCUGCGAACUAUACAGGGACAUACUUUCUGGCAGUGGGUUUGGAUUUACAAAACAACUCUACUAUAGAAGAUUUGCAAGAUUUAGAUACAGAGUGUAUAGGAAAUGAUACUUUAACAUACUGUGAGACAGUAGUGGAGGUCACACUGCAGAUUGAUACCACAACCCUAGCUUGUACAUACUGGGAUGAAUCAUCACAGGCCUGGAGUAAUCAGGGGUGUGAGGUGUCUCCACUUUCGACAAAAGAGAAGUUGGAAUGCUUGUGUACACAUUUGACAGCAUUUUCUGGUGGUGUGUUUGUGCUACCAAACUUUGUAGAUCCCAUUGGUGAUGCAGCAUUGUUCUUGACAUUCUUUGACAAUCCAGUUGUCGUGACAACUGUUGUUAUAGUCUGGGUUCUCUAUUUCUUCCUCAUUCACUGGGCACGACAGUCUGAUAAGCGGGAUCAAGAACAGGUUGGAGUUAUUGCUGUAGGAGAUGUGGAUGCUGUUAACAAGUACAUGUAUCUUGUCUGUGUUGUAACUGGAUGGUGGACUGAUGCUGGCACCACAGCUAAUGUCUUCUUCUACAUGAAAGGGAUGAAUGGAUCAAGUGCAAGGAUAAAGUUGACAACAUCAGCUAAACUAUGUUUCCAGACAGGAUAUGAGGACUGGUUCCUUGUUACUACUGAAGAAUCUCUGGGAGAUUUAAAGAAUGUCAUACUUUGGCAUGAUAAUUCUGGAACCAACCCACAUUGGUAUUUGAGUCAAAUAUUUGUCAAGGACCUUCAGGAGAAAAAGUCUUGGACAUUCAUUUAUAAUGACUGGUUGGCUGUAGACAGAGGGUCUGCUCUGCUGACAAAAGCUUCUGUUUCUGCGAUAAGUAAAGAAGAACUAAAGUUCAAACAGAAACACAACUUCAUGGUAAAGACAACACAAGACCUUCGAGAUUCUCAUCUCUGGAUCAGUAUUUUCUCCAAACCAGCUCGUAGCACCUUUACCAGAGUUCAGCGUGUGACAUGUGCACUGUCUCUGCUGUUGACCACUAUGUUGACAAACAUUAUGUUUUAUGGUAUUCCAACAGACGAUCCAGAUGACCAGGUCGGAGGGUCACGGGGUGUUGUAAUUUCUCUGUCAUCUAUUGUCAUUGGGAUACAGAGCAGUCUGAUAAUGUUUCCGGUGAACGUUAUUAUAAUGCAGAUGUUUCUCAAACUGAAACAGAGACCUGAAAAGGAAGAGAUAGACAAGAAGAGCCAGUCUUAUAUACAGUCACUGUAUGAUAGAGUGUCUCACAUCACAACAGAUGUUCUGCUGAAUCUAGCUUCUGGUGUACCUCCCCCUGCAUGUAAAGAGGAACAGAAUAGUCAAUCAGAUUGUUCAUUUGCUACUGUGGAUGAAACUGUCAAAGUUAACUUGUCAACUGACUCAAAUGGUGCAUCUCACCAAGUUACUCCUUUUGAAAGUGCAACGUCAAACGUGCCCACCUCUGGAACUCACAGUUCAGGAAAAUACAACAUUGCAAGUCCCAAACCAGAGUCUUCCAGAGCUAUUGUUUUAAGCGAAUCUAAACAAACUGGCAAAAUUUUACCAUGGUGGUUUCUUUACAUUUCCUGGUUCCUGGUUCUAUCUGUAAGCCUUAUCUGCUCCUACUUUGUCAUGUUGUAUGGAUUGAAGUAUGGGUACCAGCGCAGUGUGGAAUGGCUUGUCUCUUUCUUGACUGGAUUCUCUCAAAGUGCUCUUAUCACACAGCCAUUAAAGAUGAAGAUACAAUGUUUGUGAAUUCUGUGAACAAGACAGAAGAGGCACAUAUACCAUUCAGCCAGCCAUUAUCUGUUACUUUGUUACAGAAAAUCAAAGAGCGAGUACAGUUGGAAUGGCUAAUGAAUAUAACUCUGCGGGACAUAGGGCUGUACAUUAUCUAUGUAGCAGUGGUUUGUAUUGUUGUCCAUGGUCAUCGGGAUAUCAAGGAGGCGUAUUACAAUUCAUUGGCUAUUGAGGAUGU